ACUCCUACGGGAGGCAGCAGUGGGGAAUUUUGGACAAUGGGCGCAAGCCUGAUCCAGCCAUGCCGCGUGAGUGAAGAAGGCCUUCGGGUUGUAAAGCUCUUUCGGCCGGGAAGAAAUCGCAUGGGUUAAUACCCUGUGCGGAUGACGGUACCGGCAUAAGAAGCACCGGCUAACUACGUGCCAGCAGCCGCGGUAAUACGUAGGGUGCGAGCGUUAAUCGGAAUUACUGGGCGUAAAGCGUGCGCAGGCGGUUUUGUAAGACAGGCGUGAAAUCCCCGGGCUCAACCUGGGAACUGCGCUUGUGACUGCAAGGCUAGAGUACGGCAGAGGGGGGUGGAAUUCCACGUGUAGCAGUGAAAUGCGUAGAGAUGUGGAGGAACACCAAUGGCGAAGGCAGCCCCCUGGGUCGAUACUGACGCUCAUGCACGAAAGCGUGGGUAGCAAACAGGAUUAGAUACCCUGGUAGUCCACGCCCUAAACGAUGUCAACUAGGUGUUGGGUGGGUAAAACCAUUUAGUACCGGAGCUAACGCGUGAAGUUGACCGCCUGGGGAGUACGGCCGCAAGGUUAAAACUCAAAGGAAUUGACGG
rnacentral:rRNA from 1 species